rnacentral:tRNA from 1 species
GGAGAGAUGUCCGAGUGGUUUAAGGAAGCAGUCUUGAAAACUGCCGUACGGUAACGUACCGUGGGUUCGAAUCCCACUCUCUCCGCCA